rnacentral:rRNA from 1 species
UGAGCAAUCUGCCCUUCUCUUCGGAAUAAGCGUGGGAAACCGCGUCUAAUGCCGAAUACGACCUCCUUUCGCAUGAUCGGAGGUGGAAAGCUCCGGCGGAGAAGGAUGAGCUCGCGGCCUAUCAGCUGGUUGGUGUGGGUAAUGGCCCACCAAGGCGACGACGGGUAGCCGGCCUGAGAGGGUGACCGGCCACACUGGGACUGAGACACGGCCCAGACCUCCGUACGGGAGGNAGCG